ensembl:lncRNA
CCUGUCUGAGUUUGAGGGAGAGGUGCCACGGCUGUUAACGUACCGGGAGUUUAAGGGAGAGGUGCCACGGCUGUUAACGUACCGGGAGUUUAAGCGAGAGGUGCCACGGCUGUUAACGUACCGGGAGUUUAAGGGAGAGGUGCCACGGCUGUUAAUAGACGUACCGGGAGUUUAAGGGAGAGGUGCCACGGCUUUUAACGUACCGGGAGUUUAAGAAAAUCACAGCAGCAUGUACAGGGAAGAAAAUAGAAUUAAAAGAUACACAUUAUAUACAAUAUAAUAAGAUAGAAAUAUUAAAUUAAAUAAACUGAAACAAAAGAAUAACCUUCCAAAAGAUGUAUUAAUAAUAAUAAUUUGUAAAAGGAGAAGAGGAAAGAGCAGCAACAUCACAACAGUACGGGGUUAUAAUUGUCAUUAUUUAGCCAGGGAUGAUUUAUUGUAAAGUGUUAUUGCACUGGGCAGGAAUAAUAAUAACAGUUAAUAGUUAAUAAUAACUACCAACACUAGUACUUUUAAAGGCAGUAUUGUAUUGUCACAUAUUGGCAAAUUAUAAAACAAACAUGUCACAUAUUUGGGAAAUAAAACGGCAACUGUCUGGCGCAAAGUCGAGGCAGCUGUCGUAAAAACGGCAACCGCCGAGG